rnacentral:pre_miRNA from 1 species
UCUUACGAAUGAACAAAGAAGUGGCUUCUUGAGAUGGAAUCUACUCCUGGUGAAGACGCUGUGAA